rnacentral:rRNA from 1 species
AGGACGAACGCUGGCGGCGUGCUUAACACAUGCAAGUCGAGCGGAAAGGCCCUUCGGGGUACUCGAGCGGCGAACGGGUGAGUAACACGUGAGCAACCUGCCCUUAGCUCCGGGAUAGCUCCGGGAAACCGGAAUUAAUACCGGAUAUGACCUAGGCCGACAUCGGCUGUGGUGGAAAGUUUUUCGGCUGGGGAUGGACUCGCGGCCUAUCAGCUUGUUGGUGGGGUAAUGGCCUACCAAGGCGACGACGGGUAGCCGGCCUGAGAGGGCGACCGGCCACACUGGGACUGAGACACGGCCCAGACUCCUACGGGAGGCAGCAGUGGGAAUCUUGCGCAAUGGGCGAAAGCCUGACGCAGCGACGCCGCGUGGGGGAUGAAGGCCUUCGGGUUGUAAACCCCUUUCAGCAGGGACGAAGCGAAAGUGACGGUACCUGCAGAAGAAGCGCCGGCUAACUACGUGCCAGCAGCCGC